UCUAACCACUAUAAAAAAGGCAUCCUCCUCUUUUAACCUAAGGUCAUUUUUAAUGGUUACCGCGCUAAAAAAUAGUUGUUUUUAGACAUUAGGGUAGAUGGGUGGUUCAAACAGGCUCUCUAGGUCGUUUUUUUCUACUAUUUGUAGAUGUCUAUAAAAGGUAGCAUUGAAGAGUCUUCGCAGAUAAACUAUUAUUAGUGGUGUAGGGUUUGCUCGCAAGGUCAUGUUCUCAUGGAAUGGUCAUCUUCAGAUGCCCGGGAACUGACUUACCUCGGUUGAAGCACUUAUCUUUGCUAUUAUUGCUAGUGGAUGCUGACUGCAUUUAUAAGUCUGCCGGGAUCUGUGAUGUGUUCCAGGCUGAUGGUUUACAAACUCGAGUUCUGAUCACAUGCAAGUCGGGGAAAUUUAUUUGCCUGUUAAUUUUCUGAUUAGCAAGAUAGACCCUUUUACCGAUUUCAUUUUCUGCUUUGUUAUUGGUCAUCCAUGUAUCAACAGGUCUAUUAUCACCGUUAAAUAUGAGAGAUGUCUCCUUCUCAUGGAAGGGAAAUCUGUAAUUUUGUUGCCACUGGGGAGUUGAACUUAAAACAGAUAAAUCUGUUAUCCGAAUCAAUAAUUUUGGAUAACUACAUUACAGAUAAUUUGAUGAGUCAUUGUUUA